CGACGUGAGGAACCUGCCUUUCAGAGGGGGACAACAGCUGGAAACGGCUGCUAAUACCGCAUAACACAUAGGUGUCGCAUGGCAUUUAUGUCAAAGAUUUAUCGCUGAGAGAUGGCCUCGCGUCUGAUUAGCUAGUUGGUAGGGUAACGGCCUACCAAGGCGACGAUCAGUAGCCGGACUGAGAGGUUGGCCGGCCACAUUGGGACUGAGAUACGGCCCAGACUCCUACGGGAGGCAGCAG
rnacentral:rRNA from 1 species